rfam:Colletotrichum gloeosporioides Nara gc5 unplaced genomic scaffold scaffold312, whole genome shotgun sequence.
GCCCCUUUGGCUCAGUGGUAGAGCGUCUCACUCGUAUCGCUGCGAACUAUGAGAAGGUCCACGGUUCAAUCCCGUGAGGGGGCA